AAAAUUGAUAUGAAAAAAUCAAGAACUAAACUGAAUUAUUAAUAAAGAUUCAAAAAUAUCUAAAAAUCAAAUUCAACCGGUAUCACCACUACUGCGUUGUCUCCAUCCUUGACACAACUCUAGGCAGCGCCUUUCUUUUAAAUGUUCAUUGCAUUCUACUAAAAUCACAAGAUAAAGCCCCACCCCCACCAAGCUAUAUAUGAAUGCCAUUUUUUAAGAAGAAACAAUAAGCCAAAAAAAAAAAAAAACUCUAAUCUCAAGCACCUCAACAAUCAAAACAAAAUUAGUGUAAACAAGGGACCAUGCCCAUAAAGUAGUCCUUUUAUUUAACAGUUAACCUACCCACUUUUU
rnacentral:lncRNA from 1 species